rnacentral:rRNA from 1 species
UAGUCCACGCCGUAAACGAUGUCUACUAGCCGUUGGGACUCUUGAAGUCUUAGUGGCGCAGCUAACGCACUAAGUAGACCGCCUGGGGAGUACGGCCGCAAGGUUAAAACUCAAAUGAAUUGACGGGGGCCCGCACAAGCGGUGGAGCAUGUGGUUUAAUUCGACGCAACGCGAAGAACCUUACCUGGCCUUGACAUGCAGAGAACUUUCCAGAGAUGGAUUGGUGCCUUCGGGAACUCUGACACAGGUGCUGCAUGGCCGUCGUCAGCUCGUGUCGUGAGAUGUUGGGUUAAGUCCCGUAACGAGCGCAACCCCUAUCCCUAGUUGCUAGCAGUUCGGCUGAGAACUCUAGGGAGAUUGCCGGUGACAAACCGGAGGAAGGUGGGGAUGACGUCAGGUCAGUCAUGGCCCUUACGGCCAGGGCUACACACGUGCUACAAUGGCCGUGACAAAGAGUUGCUACUUUGUGAAAACAAGCUAAUCUCAUAAACGCGGCCACAGUUCGGAUUG